rnacentral:rRNA from 1 species
CCUACGGGUGGCAGCAGUGGGGAAUAUUGCACAAUGGGGGAAACCCUGAUGCAGCGACGCCGCGUGAGUGAAGAAGUAUCUCGGUACGUAAAGCUCUAUCAGCAGGGAAGAAAAUGACGGUACCUGACUAAGAAGCCCCGGCUAACUACGUGCCAGCAGCCGCGGUAAUACGUAGGGGGCAAGCGUUAUCCGGAUUUACUGGGUGUAAAGGGAGAGUAUACGGCAGAACAAGUCUGGAGUGAAAUCCCGGGGCUUAACCCCGGAACUGCUUUGGAAACUGUGCGGCUAGAGUGCAGGAGGGGUAAGCGGAAUUCGUAGUGUAGCGGUGAAAUGCGUAGAUAUUAGGAGGAACACCGGUGGCGAAGGCGGCUUACUGGACUGUAACUGACGUUGAGGCUCGAAAGCGUGGGGAGCAAACAGGAUUAGAUACCCGAGUAGUC